CACUUUGCACUCUUACACUGGAGGUGAAGCAUUUCAUUCUAUAUCAUUUCUAGUUAUAGUCCAGUGCGAAAUCACACUCAUCAAUUGUGAUGUUUCCAUUAAUUUAAAUACUUCGUCUUUGCUUUUGUUAGUUGAGUAUUUAACCUUUGGACCUUUAACUUUACUAAAGCCAAAGUCCUAGUGGACGUCUUUGGAUUAUUAUGUUUGCUUCAUCAAGAAGAAAAACCUUAUUAUUGGACCUGAUCUAUUACUGGGUAAAACUGGUAUUUUCCUAUGUGACAACAAUAAUGAAUGGUGUCAUCUUUAGGCACUUUUUGAAAAUUGGACUGAAUUAUGGUUGCAAAGCACUUAAUUUACUCAAAUACAACCUUUUAUUCCUUUUCAGUUUCUAUGGCUUAAGGUAAUUCUCGAUGCUAUGUAUAUUUUUUAUUUUAUAUAUCCAUAAGUUCAUGCUGGCUACUGCUACUUCUUAUGAAGGAGCUAUCUAGUCUUGUUGAUUUUGUUAUCUUUACCAAAACCUCUCUUGUUAUGUUUCUCUUUUUUAUAGGUAUUAUCAUUGAAUUGUUUGGG
rnacentral:misc_RNA from 1 species